rnacentral:rRNA from 1 species
AAUAGAUACCCGGUAGUCCACGCCGUAAACGAUGAGUGCUAAGUGUUAGGGGGUUUCCGCCCCUUAGUGCUGCAGCUAACGCAUUAAGCACUCCGCCUGGGGAGUACGACCGCAAGGUUGAAACUCAAAGGAAUUGACGGGGGCCCGCACAAGCGGUGGAGCAUGUGGUUUAAUUCGAAGCAACGCGAAGAACCUUACCAGGUCUUGACAUCCCAAUGACCGCUCUAGAGAUAGAGUUUUCCCUUCGGGGACAUUGGUGACAGGUGGUGCAUGGUUGUCGUCAGCUCGUGUCGUGAGAUGUUGGGUUAAGUCCCGCAACGAGCGCAACCCUUAUUCUUAGUUACCAUCAUUUAGUUGGGCACUCUAAGGAGACUGCCGGUGACAAACCGGAGGAAGGUGGGGAUGACGUCAAAUCAUCAUGCCCCUUAUGACCUGGGCUACACACGUGCUACAAUGGACGGUACAAAGAGCUGCGAACCCGCGAGGGUAAGCCAAUCUCAUAAAAACCGUUCUCAGUUCGGAUUGUAGUCUGCAACUCGACUAC